UACGGAGGGAGCAAGUGUUACUCGGAAUUAUUGGGCGUAAAGGGCGCGUAGGCGAUCUGACAAGUCUGGUGUGAAAGCCCACAUGUUAACUGUGGAAGUGCAUUAGAAACUGUUGGAUUUGAGUUCAGGAGAGGAAGGCAGAAUUCCCGGUGUAGCGGUGAAAUGCGUAGAGAUCGGGAGGAAUACCAGUGGCGAAGGCGGCCUUCUGGACUGACACUGACGCUGAGGCGCGAAAGCCAGGGGAGCAAACGGG
rnacentral:rRNA from 1 species